GCUGGCGGCGUGCCUAACACAUGCAAGUCGAACGAGAAAGUGGAGCAAUCCAUGAGUAAAGUGGCGACCGGGUGAGUAACACGUGACUAACCUACCCUCGAGUGGGGAAUAACUCCGGGAAACCGGGGCUAAUACCGCAUAACAUCGCAAGAUCAAAGCAGCAAUGCGCUUGAGGAGGGGGUCGCGGCUGAUUAGCUAGUUGGCGGGGUAACGGCCCACCAAGGCGAAGAUCGGUAUCCGGCCUGAGAGGGCGCACGGACACACUGGAACUGAAACACGGUCCAGACUCCUACGGGAGGCAGCAGUGGGGAAUUUUGCGCAAUGGGGGAAACCCUGACGCAGCAACGCCGCGUGGAGGAUGAAGCCCUUUGGGGCGUAAACUCCUUUCGACUCGGACGAUAAUGACGGUACGAGUGGAAGAAGCACCGGCUAACUCUGUGCCAGCAGCCGCGGUAAUACAGAGGGUGCGAGCGUNGUUCGGAAUUAUUGGGCGUAAAGGGCGCGUAGGCGGUGCGGUAAGUCACCUGUGAAAUCUCCUGGCUUAACUGGGAGCCUGCAGGCGAAACUACCGUGCUGGAGUGUG
rnacentral:rRNA from 1 species